AUCUCAAUUCUCUGAUGAUUUUUUGUAAAAAGAUGAACAGAAAAAGAAAAGUUGGGUUUUGUUUUGAUUGAAAAAACACAGAGAGAAAGUAGGGUUUUUGGCCAAUAGCGCGCGACCUUAAUUGAAUGCACCUAUUGGCCAAUAUUUUCUUGUAAAAGUUUCAGAAUAUGGACGGGUAGGUUUGAAUGUUUGCUGGAGAUUGGCAGCUAGAGAUCCUCACCAAAUCACCAGUCACCCCAACCCCAAUCUCAAUACCUCGCCUCUGUUUCAUCUCAGAAUUUCAUUUUUAAAACUUCAAGUCCUUCUUGCUCUUCUUGCCUUGCUCACCAAAGCCAUGUCUCUUACACCAUUGAUGUUUAGGUCACUGAUGAGGCUACUAACAUCUCUAAUUGGAGAGCCAGCUGCCUCAGUCUCAACCUUGCUUUACUACAGUGAGCUUCUGCCUCAGAAUAUCAUCUUGGAAAGAUUAGUUCGACAUGAAUUGCUCGAUCGAGAAAACUAUUUGUUCCAUUUCCUCAUCAACUUCUUGAGAUGUUUUUGGUAGGUAGGAACCGUCAAGCAUAUAUACAACAAUAGACUCAGUAUUUUCCAUAACAGAGCCGGCUUUCUUUCUUAUGCAUUUUUGUAAACCCAUUAUUUCUUGGUGGCCCACCAUUGAGAGUUUAAAUUGUAAAAUCUGUGAUUUGUGAUCAUAAUGAGAUAUAUUUCACAGUUUUUUUUU